rnacentral:lncRNA from 1 species
CACUGCUUUGGAAGAAGCUAAUGGGCCGGAACGUUUUCUCUGCAACUGCAGAAAACACACCGUACCUACGAACGUACGCACACUGCCUAAAAAGCAACCAGGUAUACCAACUAAACUCCAGCAAAAACUUACACUUAGAAAGCCAACCUCUGAUGUUUGUUUUCGAGCAGGGAGGAUUGACAGUGUUGAUAAUAAAUCUCAGCAACUCAACGCAGUACUCGGUCGACUUAAGCCUCACUCACAGUGAGAAGGACUGCUCCUGUAAUAAACCAAGAACGAAGAAGUUAGCCGGAGCUGGAGUAAACGCUGAGAGGAUGGAAUACCACUUGACAGCUCCAAACGGAGACUUGCAAAGCCCAGUAAUGCUGCUGAACGGGAAGCCACUCGUAGCAGGAGCCGAUGGCAGCAUACC